rnacentral:rRNA from 1 species
GAUGAGCAUGCGUCCCAUUAGCUUGUUGGUAAGGUAACGGCUUACCAAGGCAACGAUGGGUAGGGGUCCUGAGAGGGAGAUCCCCCACACUGGUACUGAGACACGGACCAGACUCCUACGGGAGGCAGCAGUGAGGAAUAUUGGUCAAUGGGCGCAAGCCUGAACCAGCCAUGCCGCGUGCAGGAUGAAGCAUCUAUGGUGUGUAAACUGCUUUUGUACGAGAAGAAACACUCCUUCGUGAAGGAGCUUGACGGUAUCGUAAGAAUAAGGACCGGCUAACUCCGUGCCAGCAGCCGCGGUAAUACGGAGGGUCCAAGCGUUAUCCGGAAUCAUUGGGUUUAAAGGGUCCGUAGGCGGUUUUGUAAGUCAGUGGUGAAAGCCCAUCGCUCAACGGUGGAACGGCCAUUGAUACUGCAAGACUUGAAUUAUUAGGAAGUAACUAGAAUAUGUAGUGUAGCCGUGAAAUGCUUAGAG